rnacentral:rRNA from 1 species
GUAGCGGCGAGCGAACGGGGAGGAGCCCAGAGCCUGAAUCAGCAUGUGUGUUAGUGGAAGCGUCUGGAAAGGCGCGCGAUACAGGGUGACAGCCCCGUACACAAAAGCGCAUGUGCUGUGAGCUCGAUGAGUAGGGCGGGACACGUGGUAUCCUGUCUGAAUAUGGGGGGACCAUCCUCCAAGGCUAAAUACUCCUGACUGACCGAUAGUGAACCAGUACCGUGAGGGAAAGGCGAAAAGAACCCCGGCGAGGGGAGUGAAAAAGAACCUGAAACCGUGUACGUACAAGCAGUGGGAGCCCCACCACUAAGCCAGUGGUGAACUCCACAUACGCAUCCUUUGCUGAGGAUACGGUUAACGGAGCGAAAGCGACGUUCAACCUCAAAAGAAGCAGAGGGGGCUUAGUGGUGGGGUGACUGCGUACCUUUUGUAUAAUGGGUCAGCGACUUAUAUUCUGUAGCAAGGUUAACCGAAUAGGGGAGCCGGAGGGAAACCGAGUCUUAACCGGGCGUUAAGUUGCAGGGUAU